AAGUGAAACCACACACACCAGUGAGCCGAGGAUUAGGAGGAGAGGCUCUUUCUCUCGAUGUAUUUUGACCCUGGAAUCAUGAGGACAGGGUGCAGGAAUGUCUUGAAUCCAAGACUGUGUUCUCUUUCAAGAGACAAUAAUAGCAACCUUGAAGUGGUGAAAAACAAGCAAUAACUGAUCAGAUCAAUGAAUUUCCUGUCUCGAUUUAGAGAGUAUUAAUCUCUCCGAUAUACAAACAUCAACUGAAAUGCCUCAUUAUGUAAAUCAAGCAUUCCCACUUUCCCCAUUUGGUCUCCUACGUUACAGCAAUAUUUGUCAUACACAAUGAUUAUGGCCACAGUUGGUAUAUUUGGUGAAAAAUUGGCCUUUAUUUCUUUAAUGAUAAUAUUUGUUUUGUGUGUAACACUGAUACAAACAACAGUGGUCCCUGCAGGACAAUGUGGACAUCAUGAAGAUCGACUUUCAAAUGUGCCUUCAAUAGUAAGUAAAGUAAAAAAGAAAGUUACAAUUGCACUGACAACUUUAAUAUAUAUAUAUAUAUAUACUUUAAAAAAACAUCAAAUUUGGGUAUAAAAAAGUGCAAAUGUGAAAGCUAAUACAUGUAUGCACGUAACACAUGACAAUAAAUGAGGUAUGGGAGAAGUGGCAAAGAGAUUAGGCUCACUAACUACUCAUGCAUCUGGGUAGAGUGAAACAGCUUCAGCACAGGGACAAAAAUAAUAAAACCAAUUCUUUAAUUCUUACUAAUUUAAGUCUAUAUUGCUGAGGGAAUUAUAAGGAACCUUUAAAGUUAUAUUCCUCAUUAUUGUCAUGAAAUCAAAUCCCUUUUUUAGAACUUGUUAUGCAUUCAAUCAAUCAGGACUACAAUCUUAAGGAUCGUAUAACUUGAAAUGAAUAACAAAUAAUCUAUGUCAAAAAUAACCACCAAAUGUAUGGUAUAUGCCUCAACAAACAUCCCAAACAUGUGUGUGUUUAUUAUGCAAUUAUGUGUGUGUAUAUGCCUCAAAAUGUAAACACUGGGGGGGAAAUAAAUAUCACCCAAAAUCUGGAUCUGAAGCCAAUGACUAAAUGAUUUAAAGUAAUUUGGCAAUUGUUGUUUGCAAGGUUAAGACAAGUAGUCUCUUAGAUGAUUGUCCUUUUAUCUAAAGAUGGAUCAACAUGAACCUAAUCCAUCCUCCAAUCAGAUCUUUGGCCACUGUACUCUCCCUGCUGUCUGACGCCUGUUUCACUUUACCCUCAACACAUUUCUGCCCAUCACAAAGGUAGUCAUGUAUGUUAAUAUGUUUUUAAAAGCUCACCCCAUCAUGCAAUUCAUCUUUUAAUAAAAAACAUAGAAUGCAUUAUUUAGUAAAUGUUUCUAAGAAGACAAGCUAAAUAACUGCUUGUAUAAA